GGGGAUGAUAGGCUUCGACGGGAGAGGCUGGCCCCGAACUGCGAGCCGAGAGGCGCCGACCUCGAUAAAUCAGCGCAAACAAAAAGUGCCAAUCGCACAUCCUACGCUGCUCUUCCGCUCGCUGCAUAAUCGAGUGGAAAGCGGUUGGUCUCCGAAGUGAGGCCACGUUCACCUACCCCGUCCUCCAGCCGGAGGUAGAGUGGGCGUAAUAAAGCUGGUGUGCCGCACAGGAGGCAACUAAAUGUGCGAAAGAGAAGCUUUCGGGCUUCAGUUGCUGGUCGGCCUGUCCUGGGUCCCUUGAGGACAGUCCGGCAAGAGUAACAAGGGACUACGCUCGUAGAUGUUCGAGGGACGAAUCUUUCGGACGCGGGUUCGAUUCCCGCCAUCUCCACCU
rnacentral:tmRNA from 1 species